rnacentral:lncRNA from 7 species
GGGUAUGCAUGAGAGUUAUGGCUGUGAUACUCUUUAACGUGGGGUUCUCUAGACUGCCUAAAAGUCAGCAUCAGAGGUAUAGCUAACAAAACUUUACACUGAGGCUGAGCUGUACAUGGCCUAAAUAUAUUUCUGCCUCCUCAGCUGGAAAGAUGACAUGCUGUUGAGAAGAAAACCUUCAGAGAUGCAUUAAAUAGACUCUGAGAGCCAGAGGUGGAGGAAGCCAGUUGGAAAAUGAAGCAUACCUAGGAUAACUGUUACUAGAUAGCUGUUGUUAGAUAACUGCAGUUAAAUGGCUUUAUACCAGGCUCCUAGUGUUUUCAGAAAAUUGAUGGUGCUCCUGUGUAUUCUCAGUUAUUAAAUAAUAAUUCUUAAUUAUUAGUGCAUUUGUGACUAUGUUAAAACGAAGGUAUUAUUAAGAUUUGAUAAGAAAAACAAUUUUAUUAAUACUCUGUGAAUAACAGUCUCAAGUGAUUUAUCUCACUUUAAUAGUGCAACAGCAUACAGAUCUGUAAGGUAUGCUCUCAUUAUUAAAGUCUUUGUGCAAAUAUUUAAACGACCAAUAAUUGGAAGACUUGACGUUUAUUAGAAUGUAGAUUCGGGAAGGGCUUAAGAAUGCUUUUAAUAUAACUUGACAGCACAAAAAAUUGUACAUUAAUUCCAUUACUGGAAUGCCUUAAAGGAAAAUUACAAAGCAAUGAAACUUGCAUUUGUACUUUCCUUCUACUUUCUUCCGAGUCUCAACUGAAUUGUGCUGUGAUUAGAAUUUGGUCAAAUAUUUAGAACAAAAAAGGGAUAUUGAAUCUUAAUAUAAUUUUUCCCCUAAUCAAAGUGUAGAAAACCCAUAUAAGUUCAUAUAAAUAGUAAUUAUUUUUGUGACAGUUAUUGCCCUAUGUUUAGAAACAGAACUAGUAUUUACUGUCCCUAACUAAUAGAUGGGAAGG